CUACGUGCCAGCAGCCGCGGUAAUACGUAGGGUGCGAGCGUUAAUCGGAAUUACUGGGCGUAAAGCGAGCGCAGACGGUUACUUAAGCAGGAUGUGAAAUCCCCGGGCUUAACCUGGGAACUGCGUUCUGAACUGGGUGGCUAGAGUAUGUCAGAGGGGGGUAGAAUUCCACGUGUAGCAGUGAAAUGCGUAGAGAUGUGGAGGAAUACCGAUGGCGAAGGCAGCCCCCUGGGAUAAUACUGACGUUCAUGCUCGAAAGCGUGGGUAGCAAACAGGAUUAGAUACCCUGGUAGUCCACGCCCUAAACGAUGUCGAUUAGCUGUUGGGCAGCUUGACUGCUUAGUAGCGUAGCUAACGCGUGAAAUUGACCGCCUGGGGAGUACGGUCGCAAGAUUAAAACUCAAAGGAAUUGACGGGGACCCGCACAAGCGGUGGAUGAUGUGGAUUAAUUCGAUGCAACGCGAAGAACCUUACCUGGUCUUGACAU
rnacentral:rRNA from 1 species